rnacentral:rRNA from 1 species
GACGAACGCUGGCGGCGUGCCUAAUACAUGCAAGUCGAACGAGUGGCGGACGGGUGAGUAAUGUCUGGGAAACUGCCCGAUGGCGGGGGAUAACUACUGGAAACGGUAGCUAAUACCGCAUACCAUCGGAUGUGCCCAGAUGGGAUUAGCUAGUAGGUGGGGUAACGGCUCACCUAGGCUACGAUCCCUAGCUGGUCUGAGAGGAUGACCAGCCACACUGGAACUGAGACACGGCCCAGACUCCUACGGGAGGCAGCAUGGGGGAAUAUUGCACAAUGGGGGAAAGCCUGAUGCAGCCAUGCCGCGUGUAUGAAGAAGGCCUUCGGGUUGUAAAGUACUUUCAGCGAGGAGGCGUUACUCGCAGAAGAAGCACCGGCUAACUCCGUGCCAGCAGCCGCGGUAAUAC